UGUAUCUAUGUAUCUAUCUAUGUAUCUAUCUAUCAUCUAUCUAUAAAAUAUGUUUAUUAUAUAUUUAUUAUGAGGAGUUGUCUUAUGUGAUUGUGGAGCUCAAGUAGUUCUGCAAUCUACCAUCUACAAGCUGUAGAUCCAGAAAACCCUGGUAUAAAUUCUAGUCUGAGUCUGAAGCCCUGAGAGCCAGGAGCGCCAAUGAUGUAAGUCCCAUUCAAGGGCAAGAGAAGACCAAUGUCUCAGCUCAAGCAGUCAGCCAGUGCCCACCCACACUGGGGAGGGCCAUCUGCUUUACUCAACCCAGUGAUUCAAAUGCCAGUGUCUUCUUGAAUCACCCUCACAGACACACCCAGAACAAAUGUUUAACUAGAUACCUGGGCAUCCUGUGGCCCAGUCAAGUUGACACAUAAAAUUAACUCACAGGUCCACUCCUGGUAAACGUGGCACCUAUAUGCAUCUCCAAAAUGUACUUAGUCUCCAAAGAAGGAUAAUAACAAGGUCAUAAUUCUACCUAACGUAAUAUAACUGAAAACAUAGUAACUCCUUCCUCAGAGAGGAGGCAAAGAAAUUGAGUGAUGUUGACUCUCCUUCCUGAUAUUCUAUAACUUAAGUACUGUGAUGUAAAAUUAAUAAUACUUAAAUACUAUGAUAUAAAGUCAAUAAUUUUAUGUUGCAUGAUAUAGAGAUAGCAAAGAAAAUGAUGAUAUUUGCAAAUACACAACACACACUUGUAACAGAAUAAAGAGGAAAUACUCAUGGCAGUCACAGUCCUCAUUUCUGUAACUGGUCAUGUGGUUCUACCUGGCAUUUAUAACUUCUUUCUUCUGCUACCCAAUCUGUACUCCCUUCACCUUCAGCAAGCACCUCAGCUAGUGGUGGUUUUCUUACCUGAUGGAGUGACCCAUAUCUUUAUUGCUGAAUGGUAUGGACCAUUAGUAGUCCUUCCUGGAUUGGGUUGUUGUAGUUUUUCAUUGACCUUAAUCACAGGGCAUAGUAAUACUAUGAGAUGUACUAAAGGAGCUCCUGUAUUCCAGACAUAUUCUUCUUUACCUUCAUUGUGGAGUAGUAGUCCAAUUUUUCUUUGGCAAUCAGGUUCCAUCACCCCAUCCAGCACGGUUAUUUCUUCUCUUCCUGUUGACUCAGAGGCAUAAGGAGCCCAAAGUGGCCAGAUGGCAGGUGACUCUAGCCAAAUAAUUGGACAAAACCCAUGAAUCAGUAUAUAAUCACACAUCUGGCCAUUUUUGCUUCUAGGCAAAGUGAACAGCUGAGCGCAUUGCUCAAAGUUCUGCCCUCUGGGAGGAUUUCCCUUAACCACUGUCCUUCAGGGCUAUCCCAGAGAGGCAUUGAUGACAUUAUACUGAUUGGACCAAAUAAGAAAGAAAGAACAGCUAGUCUUCAAGCACCACUGGAUGUGCUGGAUCAUAUGGCUCAAGUAGCACAGCAGCCCAGGCCUGUUGCAGAAUCUUUUCUUGUUCUAGGAUCCACUCAGCUCUGGCAGCUUUUGGGUCAGUCAGUAAAUGUACUAGAGUAACAUCCCCAAUUGAGGAACAUGUUGCCUCCAAAAUCUAAAGAGGUCCAGUAGGCAUUGUGCCUUUCAUGGUUGUAGGAGGGGCCAGAUGCAACAACUUAUCCUUCACCUUAGAUGGGACAUGUUGAUAUGCUCUAGCACUGGCCUCCUAAAAAUUUCACUGAGGUCCUUGAAUUUAUUCAGAUUUCUUUCCCACCUUCUGAUAUGCAAAUGUCUUGCCAAUAGGUUUGGACUAGCUGCUAUUUCUUUCUUAUUUGGUCCAAUCAGUGUAAUGUCAUCAACGCAAUGAGUUGGUGUGAUAUAGAAGAGAAAGGUGAUUGAGAUCUCGGUGAACUAAAUUACAACUUAAAUUCCACUUGAUCAUGGUAUAUGGUCCUUUAAAUGUGCUGUUGAAUUUGGUUUGGUAAUACUUUGUUGAAGAUUUUCACAUCUAUGUUUAUCAGGAAAAUUGGUCUGUAAUUUUCUUUUCUUGGGGCUUCCUUUCUGGAUUUGGUAUCAGGGUAAUUCUGCCUUCAUAAAAUGAUUUUGGAAGUGUUCCCUUCUUUUCUCUAUUUUUUGGAAGAGUUUGAAAGGAUUGGUAUUAAUUCUUCUUUAAGUGUUGUGUAUAAUUCACCAGUGAAGCUGUCUUGUCCUGGACUUUUGUUUGUUGGCAGGUUUUUGAUGACUAAUUCAAUCUUCUUACUAGUAAUUGGUCUUGUCAUUUAUUCUCAUAAUAUUUCCUUAGUCCAAAAGCCUAUCACUACUAUCUGAUAUACCAGUUUAUCUACUCUGUUAAUCACAUGCCAAAGUACAGCUUUUAUCAUUUUACUACCUUGAUCAACAACUUCUUUUGGCUACCCACUAUCUUCCAGAUACAGUAUAACUUGAUUUGUCGUUCAACAUUUGGCCCUCUGCUAUUUAACCAUCUUUAUUUCUUAAUAAAACAUUUCUGUUAUAGUCCGAUAGGGUUUUAUUCUUUUACAGAAUAAAACAUUACAGAAUGUUAUAGACUGGGAACUGACUAGGCCACAAGUCCUGCCAUAAGCCUGCCUACCCUCAUCCGCAGGCCUGUGCAGAACCUCUGAGCGUUGGAUGUGAGGUAAUUAAUGAUUUUCUUAUGAUUCCACUGGGAUCAAGGUAAAGAUAAAUUCCUACUGCCCCUCUACUCUCUGAAAAACAAGUCCUCGUUAACCUAUCCUUCAGGCUAAUAAUAAGCAAUUUUCCAGGCUCUCCAGCUCCAAGAUAGAGCUUCUUUUUGACCACUGUGCAUUUAGGAAGGUGUUAGGGCAUUGGUCAAUUUAAUCCUCUGGAUUUACCUCUGAGACUAUUUGGAGGAAGUGAUAGGUAAUGUAGAAGGAUUCCUUAUCUUAUGUUUUUUGGUGGCUCCCAAAUUGAAAAAGAAGCUAUGAGUCACAUGUAUUUAUAAAAUUGUGUUCUCCAAAUUUAUCUUGCUUUCAGGAUAACCACAUAAUUCAAUAAAUAAAAUCCAGGACAGUUUGUCCAGAAGAAAUACAAAUAAGUAAGGACGUUUUGUUGAGAAAAUAAAGUUUGACUUUUACUUAAAGUAAAAUGAAGAAGCAAAUGCCAUUUCUCAUGUCAUGACUUGGCAAGUUUACACACACACACACACACACACACACACACACAUAAUGAAUCCCAUUGUCUUUCUCUCAUAUUGUUCUUGACUCUAUCCAUGUUUUCUAUUGUCCCAGUUUUAGGGAUACCUGUAAAAAAUGAGUAAGAAAGAGAAAUUCAACAAGUGAUCAUUCCCAGAGUGCAGCCAUACAAAAUUGCUUAUCAGAAAGUUGUUCUCUGUCAGGGGCCUGGAAGAAAGCUCGCGAUUAGCUCACAGGUUACCACUAUAUCCAGCUGACUGUGCAUUCUCUAGUCACACACUUAGGUAAUCUGAAGGAUAAUGGUGGCAUUGGGGACUAAAUCUAGUAGUAAUAAAACACUAUUAGAAAAUCUUUGUUACAAUCUCAGAGUGUCUUGAGGGUUCCAGAAAAAGUGCCUGGUCUUGUAUUUUAUGCUUUAAAACUAGGGCUGUGCAGGGACAAUUCCAAUUAAGCAAUCCUCCUGGCUUCUUUCCCUGGAAGCCUAUUUCUUUCUUCCCAUCUGUGAUCUUUGUUCUCCUCUUUUCUGGUAAAACUGUUUUAGCCGGGUCAGCCAAGCUAAAUGUCCCUGAUUUACCAGCAGAGCCCUGGCUCUCACGAUGGGGUCAAAGGGCAGGGUACAGAAUUGCAAAACAGUGAUCCUGAGCCCUUUAAAGCAGUUCUAGUCCCUGAAGCACUCUAUCCUAAAGUAAACAUGAGUUGAGAAAUGAUUAAAUGUACAAAUAAUAGUAAGGCAAGCAACAGGAGGAGGAAUCUGUUGAUUUCUUCAAUAGUACUUGAACAUGCUUUUCCUCUGUAACUCUAGUUCCCUGAGACCGCUCCACAAGUAUUUCUCCCUUGGGUGAUAUGCCUGCGUUUGAACCAUAAAGAUGAACCACAGAGGGCCAUUGGAGGACUGACUGUCAAGAGAGGCCUCCGGGGGGGCUGGUGGCAAUUCUGAGAGGGAAUAGUAGUCGUUGGGAGGGCUUAAUAGAAAUAAUUGUUGGGGAGAACUAAGAGAUCUACGUUUUUCCUGCCACACAACCUGACUGUGGCUCAACUGCAGGGACUGUGAGGCAGGCACAGCAGGAGCGCCAGCUGCUGAGCUGGGAUCUUCUGAAUGGAGAGGUCGCCUCUUUUUCAGCCCCCCAAGGAGGGCAGCAGCAUUCACGGGAUCAGGAACACAGCCCCACGGAGGGCACCUGGGUGGCUCAGUCGUUAAGCAUCUGACUUCAGUUCAAGUCAUGACCUCAUGCUGAGUUUGAGUCCCACUUUGGGUGAGCUCGAGCCCCACUUCCGAUCAGACAAAAAGGCAACACAGAGAAUUUAAGUGAAUUGUCCAGCAUCACAGAGCAGAGCCAAGGGAUGCCAGAUUCUCAAAUAAGAAGAUGGCAGUCAGUCUCACAUCAUCCUGCUCCUGUGACGACAGAUGCAUGUCAUGGACUGAGAAACAUUAUGUUGACCACAAAACUCAUAGGUGAUUAUUGCAGGCUCCGAUCCAAGAGAAUUAUCAUCACUGGACCAACAACAGCCUGGGGAACCUAACAAACAGAAGAUACAUCAUUGGAAGAUACAGCAUUGAGUGGGAGCCAAGAAAGCAGUUUUGAGGACAAGAUGAGAAUUAAAAAGUAAUGUUGAUAACACUGGAGAAGGUAGCUGGAAACAAGCAGAAAGCUGCUGUCAAAGGAAACUAAAAAAUACAAAACUGGAGAAUUAUUGACUGUGGGUAUAUAUUACAGACUAAAAUCCAGAAGUCUAUACAGUUAACGGAUUGUCAAAGAGUCAGGAGGAAAGGGCAAGAGUUAAAAAAAAAAAAAAUUGGAGUGGAUAAAUAAAAAAAUCAGACCUGAGAGGUAAUUUUUCUUCAGGUUGUAUUCAAUACUCUGCAGGCCACAUCUAGAGAUACAACACAGUCACUGGCUUGUAAAAUAUUUAAGGAGCUGAAAAAUUAGGCUUAUUAUGAAUAAUGAAGGAAAUGAAGACUUUUCAGUCUGGAGACUAGAAGGUAGAAAGGCAAUUUAAUCAAGCCUUAAUGUUUAAGAGGAGGAAACCAGCAGUUUUCCAUCUCCUCUGACAACAAACAUGAGGAAACAGUUUUCGAUUAUAAAAAACAGAUAUAAGUUGGAGGUGAAAGAGAUUUUACACUGAUGACGGUGAAUAAGCCAAAAAUAAUAAUAAAAUCUAGUUUUCUGGAAGGUAUAAAGGAAAAUGACUUUCCUCUGUUCUAGGGUCACCAACUGAUCUUUUUUGAAAUUUAUUUCUAGGCUAUUGACUAGAUUGGGGGUUGGCAAGUUCUUUCUGUAAAGGGCCAGACAGUAACUAAUUUAGACUUUGGGGGCCAUAUGGUUUCUGUAACAGCUAAUCAACUCUGCAGAUGAAGUGUGAAAGCAACCAUAGACAAUAUGUAACCGGUGAGCGUGGCUGUGCUCCGAAUAAAACCUAAUUUAUGAAGAGAUGCUCGGGGCGGGAUUUGGCCCACUGGCUAUAGUUUAUACCGACUCCUCGAUGAAGUGAACCACACAAGCAUUUUGAACCUUUGAAUCUUGAUGUGGAAAAGAGUGUUGGAGAUGACAAGGUCUUUACUGGGGCCUUUGUUCUGUGUUGAGUUCUGCGGUAAUUUUUGGGAAUGACACAGGAGAGAGAGGAAAGCUGUGAAAGGGAAUAUACGUGAGGGUAUUGCCCUUAUGGGCAAGUGGAGCUCAAUCCUUGUGAUGGGUGAGGAAGCUGGGAAGUUUAUUUGCAAACUUGUGUUUCUUAUUGUUUAUUUCCUGUUUGUUCUCAUUUGUCUGGCCCACCCUGCUCAGAGCAAUCCUGAUUCCCAGGCCAGAGAGUACCCUCAGGCCGAGAGAGAGGCAAGAAGCCAGCAGCCUGCAUAAGAACUGUACAAGUGACCUCUGUGCAGGUGACCUGUGUGCGGGUGACCACAGGGGAAGGCCAAGGAAUAUGGAUGGGACACCAGCAUUGCCUGCUACCAGCACCACCUGAAUCUCUUUCUGUUCACUCACUCCUGGGAGGGCAGAAUUCUGAACAGACUCACUUACGUCUUCAAAGAAGGUUCUAGUUUGCAGCACUAUUUCUUUGAAGUAGAAGCUCACAUCCCGGUCUGUGAGCAGCUCCAGGAUCUUUUUUAGAGCCUUCAAGCUUUCACAGACAACCUCGGUGCGGGCCAGGUGAUAUAGGCCUCUGAUGAUAGAUUCCAGUAUUAUCUGCUUAUGCUUCUUCACCUAUUUGGAAAUAAGGUCUCGUAAUCUUGAAAAUUGCUCUCUGUGUAUCUAGAAUAGGGUAGGAGACUCCCAAGGAAACUGGAAUUCUGUUAGGGUCACAUAUACUUCAACUCCAGAGAUACCACUGUAGCAAUUUCUUUUGGAUUUUUACUUAAUUGCUAUACAAGCACGAGAUGUGGGUUAGUAAAUAAUUAUUUUAAACUCUGAUUAAGUGUCCCCCGCACCUACCCCAACUCCCUUUACCUUGUGAGGGGCUCCAGAAGUUGUAUUACCAAGCCCUCGGAUGGCCAUUUGCCUCAAAAUGGCGUUGGAGUCCCAGGCACUCUGAUCCAUCAGGAUCAGCACUUCCCGUAGAUUCCCAUGCUUCCAAAGGAUCGGCUCCUUCAUGAGCUGAAAACAACCACUUCACCCCUUUAGUUAAAGGAGUGGCCUCUCUUCAGGAGAAUGAUAAGUGCAUCAUAACUAUAGUUAAAGACUAGCACCCGGCUGCUCUUGGAGCCGGGGAGAAAGCCCUCAGGUGAAUCAGCAAGUCUGGCAGAAAGGAAUCUCUCUAUUUGAGCAGCCCACAGACCAAGAUUACAUGGUGAUGAGAACCACACUACCCAGUUAAGUAGGAUGUCUCUAAUCUAAAUGGAAAAACAGGAAAACGGGAGUUACUGGCAAUGUUCUUUCUCCGGGUUGUCUGGGACAACCUUUAUGGCAGGGUGUGAGGGGACAAUAAUAUAGUUCUUGGUAACUUUUUGUUUUGUCCCUGUCAUAUCUAUCGUCCACCCUUCUCUGUCCUGGGAGGUUGGUUCCGGCAGACUGGAGCGAAGGAAGAGGUUUGGGUGAGUUCUUUUUCCUCUCUCGUUCCCUUCUCAGGUACUGUAUUUCUGGCAGCGGCUGAAUCUCAGUACUACCAAAACUCUCCUGAAAGGCCCUCUUCUGUGGUUCCAGCUCCCACUGAACUGCUGACCCUAAGAGAAAUGCCCCCAAGGGGACCCAGAGAGCCUGCUGGGCAGUGACAUGACUGUUCUCUCUUGCCUCAGAGAAGAAAGCUGUGCCGGUUAUCCGGUAGUUCUCUGAGGAGGAGGUGAGAGAUGCAAACAGUUGCUCCAUGAUGUCUAGUAUGACUCCAUGUUGCCACAGCGCCAUGCUCCUAGAAAAUGCAAGGCUCCAAUUGUAGCAGAGACUUUUUUCUUUCUAAACAAUGGAGGAGAUUUUAGUCUAUUUCUCUCUCAGGGAAAUAAAUGAUCUCAAAAGGAAUGUUCCAUGAAAGAGCACUAAGGAUUUGGGCUCUUCCCACCGUCCCUUCCCAUCUGCCUUUGCUCUUUCUUCCCUCUUUUUUCCCCUGGACUACAGAUCCUUGGUGAGUCCAUUGCUUCCAGUAAAGUUGCCUACAUGGCAGUUUUUACUCUGUUUUUAAUUUUUCUCCUUUGUAUCCAGUUCUCGAAUGUCCACACAUUACCUGGCCAGUGCACAUACUCCUACAUGGUGGGUACUGGGGCUGCUGAGAAGGGUCCAUAAGUUGUCCCCCUCAUCAGAUUCCUUGGCAAGGCCCUCUUUCAUGGCUUGGGCUUGCACACACUUCAGAGUUGUGAUUGAGAGCCUGAAGGAGACAGUGGGCACCACAAAAGUAAGUCAACCCCAUACAGGGAGUUGCGAAUCCCAAGUUCACUCUUUCUGUUCCCCACAAGGCUGCUUCACCCUGGAUUAAUGGAUGUUGUGUGAGGGAAAAAACCAGACAGCCUGAUCUCACACUUCAGUUUUGGGGCCAAAGGGGACACUGAGGUGAUUUGGACCAGUAAAUAAUGCCACAAAAUUUUGUUAACCUCUCAUGAGAAAAUAAAGCCCUAAAGAUGGAAAGUGCCAAAUACUGUAUUUCACUGAUUCUGAAACAGCCCUUCAGAAGCAGGAUGCGGCUUGCAAUGGAUAGUGUGUUAUGACAGUUGGCCAGACAGUGGUUGUGGUGUAGUUGUUAUUACCAGUGCGUGCACACGAACAUGCAUGGAUUUAGGCACGGUUGUUUAUACUGUUGUCAUUUUGGUAACAUUGUGUUAUUGGAACUACAUGUGUUGGGUCUAACCGUUGUUUAAAAUGUCUUUACAAAGUGGAUUUGAGGGGUGCCCGGGUAGCUCAGUCUGUUAAGCGUCUGACUUCAGCUCAGGUCAUGAUCUCACAGUCUGUGAGUUUGAGCCCCGCGUCGGGCUCUGUGCUGACAGCUCAGAGCCUGGAGCCUGCUUUGGAUUCUGUGUCUCCCUCUCUCUCUACCCCUCCCCACUCACACUCUGUUCCUCAGAAUGAAUAAACGUGAAAAAAAAUGAUUAAAAAAAAAAACUAAGGUGGAUUUGACAUUGGAAUGAAAAGUUAUGCAAAAGGGCACAGAAACAGAGCGUUGUGAUGUAGGAUCAAAAUGUGCACCUAAUAAUUCUCAAAGAGCUCUUUGAAUAAAUACAUAGUAAAACAUUUAAAGUAUCACAAAGCAUUGAUUCAUGGCUUAAUCAGGAUUCUUUCUUUCUUUUUCAAUAGUGCACAAAAUAAUUUUGCUUCCUUCAAUUGGCGAUACCUUAAAUUUAAUAAAAUAUGGUAUUUAUUUCUA